CCAAGGCAACGAUCCGUAGCUGGUCUGAGAGGAUGAUCAGCCACAUCGGGACUGAGACACGGCCCGAACUCCUACGGGAGGCAGCAGUGGGGAAUAUUGGACAAUNGGGGCAACCCUGAUCCAGCCAUGCCGCGUGUGUGAAGAAGGCUUUCGGGUUGUAAAGCACUUUCAGUGAGGAGGAAAACCUUACGAUUAAUACUCGUGAGGCUUGACGUUACUCACAGAAGAAGCACCGGCUAACUCCGUGCCAGCAGCCGCGGUAAUACGGAGGGUGCAAGCGUUAAUCGGAAUUACUGGGCGUAAAGCGCGCGUAGGUGGUUUGAUAAGCGAGAUGUGAAAGCCCCGGGCUUAACCUGGGAACGGCAUUUCGAACUGUCAGGCUAGAGUGUGGUAGAGGGUAGUGGAAUUUCCUGUGUAGCGGUGAAAUGCGUAGAUAUAGGAAGGAACAUCAGUGGCGAAGGCGGCUACCUGGACCAACACUGAC
rnacentral:rRNA from 1 species